CGUAGGUAAUCUACCUUUGGAUGGAGAAUAACAACCGGAAACGGUUGCUAAUACCGCAUAAUGCAGCGGCACCUAAUGGUGACAGUUGUUAAAGCGGGGGAUCGCAAGACCUCGCGUCUAAAGAGGAGCCUGCGGCGGAUUAGCUAGUUGGUAAGGUAACGGCUUACCAAGGCGACGAUCCGUAGCCGGCCUGAGAGGGCGGUCGGCCACACUGACACUGACAUACGGGUCAGACUCCUACGGGAGGCAGCAGUCGGGAAUUUUGGGCAAUGGGCGAAAGCCUGACCCAGCAACGCCGCGUGAAGGAUGAAAUCCCUCGGGAUGUAAACUUCGCAAGAACGGGAAGAAUAAGUGAGAGUUAAUAUCUCUCGUGAUGACGGUACCGUUUGUAAGCUCCGGCUAACUCCGUGCCAGCAGCCGCGGUAAUACGGGGGGAGCAAGCGUUGUUCGGAUUUACUGGGCGUAAAGGGCGCGUAGGCGGCCACUGCAAGUCAGUUGUGAAAUCUCCGGGCUUAACUCGGAAAGGUCAACUGAUACUGCAGGGCUAGAGUGCGGAAGGGGCAACUGGAAUUCUCGGUGUAGCGGUGAAAUGCGUAGAUAUCGAGAGGAACACCUGCGGC
rnacentral:rRNA from 1 species